rnacentral:rRNA from 1 species
AUUGAACGCUGGCGGCAUGCCUUACACAUGCAAGUCGAACGGCAGCGGGGACUUCGGUCCGCCGGCGAGUGGCGAACGGGUGAGUAAUGUAUCGGAACGUACCAUUGAGUGGGGGAUAACGUAGCAAAAGUUACGCUAAUACCGCAUAUUCUCUCCGGAGGAAAGCAGGGGACCGCAAGGCCUUGCGCUCUUUGAGCGGCCGAUAUCAGAUAGCUAGUUGGGGGGGUAAAAGCUCACCAAGGCGACGAUCUGUAGCGGGUCUGAGAGGAUGAUCCGCCACACUGGAACUGAGGCACGGUCCAGACUCCUACGGGAGGCAGCAGUGGGGAAUUUUGGACAAUGGGGGCAACCCUGAUCCAGCCAUGCCGCGUGAGUGAAGAAGGCCUUCGGGUUGUAAAGCUCUUUCGGCCGGGAAAAAAUCGCAUGGGUUAAUACCCUGUGUGGAUGAUGGUACCGGAAUAAGAAGCACCGGCUAACUACGUGCCAGCCGCCGCAGUAA